CCUUGACUUUGGGAUAACUUCAGGAAACUGGGGCUAAUACCGGAUAGGAGCUCCUGCUGCAUGGUGGGGGUUGGAAAGUUUCGGCGGUUGGGGAUGGACUCGCGGCUUAUCAGCUUGUUGGUGGGGUAGUGGCUUACCAAGGCUUUGACGGGUAGCCGGCCUGAGAGGGUGACCGGCCACAUUGGGACUGAGAUACGGCCCAGACUCCUACGGGAGGCAGCAGUGGGGAAUAUUGCACAAUGGGCGGAAGCCUGAUGCAGCAACGCCGCGUGCGGGAUGACGGCCUUCGGGUUGUAAACCGCUUUCGCCUGUGACGAAGCGUGAGUGACGGUAAUGGGUAAAGAAGCACCGGCUAACUACGUGCCAGCAGCCGCGGUGAUACGUAGGGUGCGAGCGUUGUCCGGAUUUAUUGGGCGUAAGGGCUCGUAGGUGGUUGAUCGCGUCGGAAGUGUAAUCUUGGGGCUUAACCCUGAGCGUGCUUUCGAUACGGGUUGACUUGAGGAAGGUAGGGGAGAAUGGAUUUCCUGGUGGAGCGGUGGAAUGCGCAGAUGUCAGGAGGAACACCAGUGGCGAAGGCGGUUCUCUGGGCCUUUCCUGACGCUGAGGAGCGAAAGCGUGGGGAGCGAACAGGCUUAGAUACCCUGGUAGUCCACGCUGUAAACGGUGGGUACUAGGUGUGGGGUCCAUUCCACGGGUUCCGUGCCGUAGCUAACGCUUUAAGUACCCCGCCUGGGGAGUACGGCCGCAAGGCUAAAACUCAAAGGAAUUGACGGGGCCCCGCACAAGCGGCGGAGCAUGCGGAUUAAUUCGAUGCAACGCGUAGAACCUUACCUGGGUUUGACAUGGAUCGGGAGUGCUCAGAGAUGGGUGUGCCUCUUUUGGGGUCGGUUCACAGGUGGUGCAUGGCUGUCGUCAGCUCGUGUCGUGAGAUGUUGGGUUAAGUCCCGCAACGAGCGCAACCCUUGUUCACUGUUGCCAGCACGUUAUGGUGGGGACUCAGUGGAGACCGCCGGGGUCAACUCGGAGGAAGGUGGGGAUGACGUCAAGUCAUCAUGCCCCUUAUGUCCAGGGCUUCACGCAUGCUACAAUGGCUGGUACAGAGAGUGGCGAGCCUGUGAGGGUGAGCGAAUCUCGGAAAGCCGGUCUCAGUUCGGAUUGGGGUCUGCAACUCGACCUCAUGAAGUCGGAGUCGCUAGUAAUCGCAGAUCAGCAACGCUGCGGUGAAUACGUUCCCGGGGCU
rnacentral:rRNA from 1 species